CUCUCUUCACUAGCCACCUCUAUUAAGAACAUAAUUUCCCAACUAGAGUAAAUACAUUUUCUAUGACUGAGUGUUGCUUCUUUGAUUAAAAUUUAUUUUUAUAACGUCGAUGGUUAGAUGAUGAUGAUGGAUGUAAAUAAAAUAAACGGUUUCGAUUAUAACUUUUGUGCGUGCAGAUAUUUAGAAGAUGAUGAUGGUAAAUAAAAUAAACCGAUUAUAAUUUUUGUGCGUGCAGAAAGUUCCAGAGUUCUCCUUUUAGCAAGUACUCCUUCCGGAGGAGGAGCUAAAGUAAAAUCCAAUCGGUUAAAUGUGAACGGUUAAUUAGCGCCAUCCUGCCCAGAAGCCCCAAAUUCUCUCUCUCUCUCUCUCUCUCUCUCUCUCUCUCUCUCUCUCACAAACAAACCAUGGAGGACCGCCGACUCGAAGACACCACAGGUCCAAUUUCAAGUCCCUUGCCGGACCGAAGAAGCUCCGAGAGAAAUCCCCGUCUUGGAUGCGCGGUGCCUAUUUGGAUCGAUGCUUUGCUUUACUAUGCUGUUUGAUCUCUGUUGGCCUUUGCUUUGCUUUACUUUGGGGUGGUGUUUUUAAUUCACUUGAUCUCCAACACAAUCCUGCAACUACAUUCUACAAGAAAUACUUUCCUUGUGCAAGUAUUAUGACACAGUAAAAACCAUAUAACCUUGGAACGAUCCAAGCAUCCUUCUCCGUGCGCGUAUAAUUUCACUCAAUCUGCUUAUGAGAAAUUAAUAAGUGCAAUUCUCGAAGACAUGUAAAAUGUUCGACUCCACGAGGCAGUUGCUUCAACUCCAAGCAUUCAUUUCUAUGAUCACCACAUUCGGUCAGUCGAGGGGAAUGGUUUAGAGUUUAACUUGCAAGCUCUGUUUCUAAUGUACGAAGUUUUUCCUAUGUCUUUCGGAAGCAGCAAUUCAACGAUCGGGAAAGCUUUAAGAUCUAAGACCCUUUGGUAAUAUGAACCGUUCAGUUCAUUCAAUAGAAAAGGAGUGGCCAUGGUAGAAGCAUAUUCUUCAAUUGUUUCUGCCCCAUUGUUUUUUUAACA